ACGUACACUCCUACGGGAGGCAGCAGUGGGGAAUAUUGCACAAUGGGCGCAAGCCUGAUGCAGCCAUGCCGCGUGUAUGAAGAAGGCCUUCGGGUUGUAAAGUACUUUCAGCGGGGAGGAAGGCGAUAAGGUUAAUAACCUUGUCGAUUGACGUUACCCGCAGAAGAAGCACCGGCUAACUCCGUGCCAGCAGCCGCGGUAAUACGGAGGGUGCAAGCGUUAAUCGGAAUUACUGGGCGUAAAGCGCACGCAGGCGGUCUGUCAAGUCGGAUGUGAAAUCCCCGGGCUCAACCUGGGAACUGCAUUCGAAACUGGCAGGCUAGAGUCUUGUAGAGGGGGGUAGAAUUCCAGGUGUAGCGGUGAAAUGCGUAGAGAUCUGGAGGAAUACCGGUUGCGAAGGCGGCCCCCUGGACAAAGACUGACGCUCAGGUGCGAAAGCGUGGGGAGCAAACAGGAUUAGAUACCCCGGUAGUCCCA
rnacentral:rRNA from 1 species